rnacentral:rRNA from 1 species
GUGGGGAAUCUUGCGCAAUGGGCGAAAGCCUGACGCAGCCAUGCCGCGUGAAUGAUGAAGGUCUUAGGAUUGUAAAAUUCUUUCACCGGGGACGAUAAUGACGGUACCCGGAGAAGAAGCCCCGGCUAACUUCGUGCCAGCAGCCGCGGUAAUACGAAGGGGGCUAGCGUUGCUCGGAAUUACUGGGCGUAAAGGGCGCGCAGGCGGACAGUUUAGUCAGAGGUGAAAGCCCAGGGCUCAACCUUGGAAUUGCCUUUGAUACUGGCUGUCUUGAGUACGGGAGAGGUGAGUGGAACUCCGAGUGUAGAGGUGAAAUUCGUAGAUAUUCGGAAGAACACCAGUGGCGAAGGCGACUCACUGGCCCGUUACUGACGCUGAGGCGCGAAAGCGUGGGGAGCAAACAGGAUUAGAAACCCGGGUAGUCC